GACGAACGCUGGCGGCGUGCUUAACACAUGCAAGUCGAACGGAAAGGCCCUGCUUUUGUGGGGUGCUCGAGUGGCGAACGGGUGAGUAACACGUGAGUAACCUGCCCUUGACUUUGGGUUAACUUCAGGAAACUGGGGCUAAUACCGGAUAGGAGCUCCUGCUGCAUGGUGGGGGUUGGAAAGUUUCGGCGGUUGGGGAUGGACUCGCGGCUUAUCAGCUUGUUGGUGGGGUAGUGGCUUACCAAGGCUUUGACGGGUAGCCGGCCUGAGAGGGUGACCGGCCACAUUGGGACUGAGAUACGGCCCAGACUCCUACGGGAGGCAGCAGUGGGGAAUAUUGCACAAUGGGCGGAAGCCUGAUGCAGCAACGCCGCGUGCGGGAUGACGGCCUUCGGGUUGUAAACCGCUUUCGCCUGUGACGAAGCGUGAGUGACGGUAAUGGGUAAUGAAGCACCGGCUAACUACGUG
rnacentral:rRNA from 1 species